GUUAAUGCGUAUUUGCAGUUUCGUUGAAGUCGUAAUAAACGUGGUGAUUUAUGUUAUUGUGUAUUCUAAAUCAAAUAUCAUCGUUGAAAAAAUAUAGCUUGUACAUUCUGGAAAUAACCUGCUCGUUGAUUGAUUUCAAGUGCAAGCAUGGUGGGACGAUAUCGAGAGAGGCAAUACCAGCUAGCUGCGCAGAAACACAACCAGGCGUUGCUCAAGCACGAUUAUUACCAGCAAAUCGCGAGAUACUUCGAACGAGAGUGCCGAAUCGCCAAGCACUACGAUUCUUGGAAUUAUAGGAAUUUAGACCCCAAAGGUGAGCUCGAGAAGGCUAAAAAAGCGGAAAGGUUACAUGUCAGAAGGAACAAAUUGAGAAAUUUGUUGAAGGAGGAGGAUGAGACGUACAGAAGAGAAUUGGAGGAACGAAAAAGAGUAAAAAGCCGCGAGGAAGAAACGUCGUUAGAGGCUUUGAGGCAAAAAUUACGAGAGAAACGCGCAGAACAGAGUCUGUAUCUACCUAGAACUUGUCGAAGAUAUCAAUCUUACUUCGUCUGUCCCAAAGAAUCGACCAAUACGGGGUGGGACACUCUCAGAGGUACCAAUCUUCAAUAUUCUCGUGCUUACAGAGAUUCGAUAAACGUUGUCCGUCCAAUCGAUCAAAAUUUUCGUCGUAGAGGCUCGAAAAUGACCGAAGAUAGCAAUAAGACCUCUCACGAGCAAGAAAUUGUACAAACAGAACCAGAACCUUUGCGCUAUCCUCCGUAUCCAGGAUAUUCGUACCAUGAACCUGGCAGACCCGUUUCCAAAUACUCGGCCCGUUAUGCUCAUAGAAGUUUAGAAAAUACUAACAUGAGAACUAACGAACCUGACGACCACCCAAGUAGUCCGUCUCCGGCUUCUGCUUCGCCAAAUAGAGAAAUUCCUCCUCGUGUAGAUGAUAAAGAGUCCGCCACAGAACUAGAUAACAAACAAAACGAUUAUAAAAACGACACAAUAAGCGGAAGUAGUCCAGUCAGCCCGAAAGACGAACAAUCCAAGAAUCUCGCUGAACAGGAUGAUAUUUCCAAUCAAAAAAUCGAUCAAGAUAGUGUGGAUACAUGUGAGGUAGAAAGCUCGAUAAACAAAUAUAAUAACGACAGAGAUCAAAACACAGAAAAGAGGGAUACUCGACAGUUCGAAGUUGAGAAAACCAUGCCCUGGUUGCGAAUGAUUCCCGAGGACAAGAAUCUCUCGAGGCAGAUGUUCCUUUACUUGACUCACAAGGAGCUGAAAUCCAAGAUCGAGGACAUCAAGAAGAGAGAGACGCACGCGUGCAACAAGCAGUGUUGGGACGAGGCUUUGCGGCUGAGGGAUAUGAAGAAUAGGCUGGAACUAAUUCGCGAAAAGAGGAUGUAUCAUACGGAAAACCUCGAUUUGGACGAAGAAUCGAGAAAAUGGGGAUUCCUCAACAUCGAUAAGAGGGAAGCGGAACUUCUUCAACGAGAAAAAGUCUGUACGGAUUCAACAAUGUACAGUGAAGAUGCAAAAGCCAUGUGGAAGAAAUGGGUGCACGAAGAUGAACAAUCCGUGAUCAAGGAGGCUUUGGUGCGAAGGGAAAAUUUGAUGGACAAAUUGGAAAAAGAAUGGCAGCGCUUAGCAAUUCAUGAGAAAGAAAAAAUCGCACAAUCGUACCAGAUUGUAACGAACGAUUCUGCUCUACAAGAGGCGCCUAAACUAGCUGCAGCUGUUAACGCGGCUAAAAUGAAAUCGGUCUCCAGUUCCUUAAAUUAGACCAUAAAUCAUAUUUUACAUUUACUCGUAGUUCAUGAUUUUCUGCCCACGGUGACGGAUACUGUUGGAUAUAUUUGAAGAAAAUUUAGAGAACUGAUUCAAUUAUAGUAAACUAUAGGUAAAAAAAUAAAAAUACAAAAAAAUAAGAUAAAAAGGAAAGAGAUAUGUUUAACAGUUUGCAACUGUUAAACGUUAUUGAAGACUGAUUAUAUUCUUAUUAAAUUCCUGUUUCGUUAAAAAAAGUAUUACAUAUAUUGAAAUUGUGCCUAAUCAUUUUGUGUAUUUUUCAAUAUCUUAAAUGAUUGUUUGUAAAAUUGGACGGUAUAGAACCAUUACUUGUAACCGUUACAUAUUUAAUUACUGGAUUUUUAUAUCAAUUUUAUCAUUUCUAUUAUCUCUAAUCGCUUUUAUGUUGGCAGUAUUAUAUUGUUAUUAUCUACUACCCUUUACCGUCAAUUCCAAUUUAUUAUUCACAAAUGUUUAUGACGAUAUUUUACUAAUGACAUUACUGUACGUUGCAUUAUUGUCUUGGAAAUAAAAUGAACUUGGAAGUAA